AUGAACGCUGGCGGCGUGCCUAAUACAUGCAAGUCGAGCGAACAGACGAGGAGCUUGCUCCUCUGACGUUAGCGGCGGACGGGUGAGUAACACGUGGAUAACCUACCUAUAAGACUGGGAUAACUUCGGGAAACCGGAGCUAAUACCGGAUAAUAUAUUGAACCGCAUGGUUCAAUAGUGAAAGACGGUUUUGCUGUCACUUAUAGAUGGAUCCGCGCCGCAUUAGCUAGUUGGUAAGGUAACGGCUUACCAAGGCAACGACGCGUAGCCGACCUGAGAGGGUGAUCGGCCACACUGGAACUGAGACACGGUCCAGACUCCUACGGGAGGCAGCAGUAGGGAAUCUUCCGCAAAGGGCGAAAGCCUGACGGAGCAACGCCGCGUGAGUGAUGAAGGUCUUCGGAUCGUAAAACUCUGUUAUUAGGGAAGAACAAAUGUGUAAGUAACUAUGCACGUCUUGACGGUACCUAAUCAGAAAGCCACGGCUAACUACGUG
rnacentral:rRNA from 1 species